AAUCAACGCUGGCGGCGUGCCUAACACAUGCAAGUCGAACGCGAAAGCCCCGCAAGGGUAAGUAGAGUGGCAAACGGGUGAGUAACGCGUGGGUGACCUGCCUCCGAGCGGGGAGUAACGUCCCGAAAGGGACGCUAAUACCGCAUAACAUCCUGCUUUUUAACUAAGCGGAGAUCAAAGCUGGGGAGUCGCAAGACCUAGCACUCGAAGAGGGGCCCGCGUCUGAUUAGCUAGUUGGGGGGUAACGGCUCACCAAGGCGACGAUCAGUAUCCGGCCUGAGA
rnacentral:rRNA from 1 species